rnacentral:tRNA from 1 species
GGUCUGGUGGUCUAGUGGUAUGAUUCUCGCUUAGGGCAAACCCGAAAGCAAACUUGCGAGAGGUCCCGGGUUCAAUCCCCGGCCAGACCC